GCAGAAAUCAUCAAUGCCCUGAAGGAGC
rnacentral:sRNA from 1 species